GUCGCAUCGCCGGGUAGCUAUGUUCGGAAGGGAUAACCGCUGAAAGCAUCUAAGCGGGAAGCCUACCUCAAGAUAAGAUUUCCCUAGGACUUUAUGUCCUCUAAAGAGCCGUUCGAGACUAGGACGUUGAUAGGUUGGAUGUGGAAGCAUAGUGAUAUGUGAAGCUGACCAAUACUAAUUGCUCGUGAGGCUUGACUAUACAACACCCAAGCAGUUG
rnacentral:rRNA from 1 species